GGCACCUGUUCUAAAGAAGGAUAUUAUGGCACUAGAAAAAGUGCAGAGGUGGGCUACAAAACUAAUAAAAGGAAUGGAACAUAUCAGCUAUGAAGAAAGGUUAACAAAUUUAAACCUAUUUAGUUUAGAAAAACGUCGCCUGAGAGGGCAUAUGAUAACAUUAUACAAAUAUAUUCGGGGCCAAUACAAACCAUUGUGUGGAAAUCUAUUCACAAACCGGACUUUACAUAGGACACGAG